GACGAACGCUGGCGGCGUGCUUAACACAUGCAAGUCGAACGCUGAAGCUCAGCUUGCUGGGUGGAUGAGUGGCGAACGGGUGAGUAACACGUGAGUAACCUGCCCUCUUCUUUGGGAUAACGCCCGGAAACGGGUGCUAAUACUGGAUAUUCACUGAUUCUCGCAUGGGGGUUGGUGGAAAGGUUUUUUCUGGUGGGGGAUGGGCUCGCGGCCUAUCAGCUUGUUGGUGGGGGGAAGGCCUACCAAGGCUUUGACGGGUAGCCGGCCGGAGAGGGUGACCGGGGACAGUGGAAAUGAGAGAAGGUCGAGAAUGCGACGGGAGGCAGCGGGGGGGAAUAGGGGAGAAGGGGGGAAGGCCUGAGCCAGCCAUGCCGCGUGUGUGAAGAAGGGCUUGGGAUUGUGGAGAGCGGGGAGUGGGGAGGAAGGGGAGGAAGGGAAUACCUUGGUGUGUGGACGUGAGCAACAGAAUAAGCAACGGCUAACUUCGUG
rnacentral:rRNA from 1 species